rnacentral:rRNA from 1 species
UACGUAGGGUGCAGGCGUUAAUCGGAAUUACUGGGCGUAAAGCGUGCGCAGGCGGUCUUUUAAGUCAGAUGUGAAAUCCCCGGGCUUAACCUGGGAACUGCGUUUGAAACUGGAAGGCUAGAGUGUGGCAGAGGGGGGUGGAAUUCCACGUGUAGCAGUGAAAUGCGUAGAUAUGUGGAGGAACACCGAUGGCGAAGGCAAUCCCCUGGGCCUGCACUGACGCUCAUGCACGAAAGCGUGGGGAGCAAACAGG